UAAAGGGAAUCUUAGCUUUUUCCACAGUUUAGCUAUUGUGGACAUUGCUGCUAUGACUGGCACCCAUUCCCUGGGCACUCUGCAUGAUCAAGACACUGUCCUUAUUGAACAGAUUGGCUGAGCUGAGCAGGAACAUGAGGGAGGAGUGUCCCUGACAGGGAAGGGAGGCUGAGAGAGGAGCGCAGGUCCCUGGUUCCUGGAGUAGAAGAGAGAAGAGCAGAAGCUGGCUGGUGAGAGGCAGCAGAAAUCCCCUGCACUAGGUGAGGAAGGCUGCUCAGACUGAGAGGGGAUGUGAGCUGACCUCAGCAAGCAUGUUCCAGGUCCUGAAGGAGAUAACUUCUUGCUCUUAGUUCUGCCAGGUAGGUGUUCCUCUGACACAAGCCAGGACAGAAAUAGGGGAAGCUUCUGCUCUUCCUUCUUAAUAAAUUCCUUAUCUCUGUUUUUGAC
rnacentral:lncRNA from 1 species